rnacentral:rRNA from 1 species
CCCUUAGAUGUUCUGGGCCGCACGCGCGCUACACUGUUCGACGCAGCGAGUCUUAACCUUGACCGAAAGGUUUGGGUAAUCUUCAGCAAAGUCGAACGUGAUGGGGAUCGAUCAUUGCAAUUAUUGAUCGUGAACGAGGAAUUCCUAGUAAGUGCAAGUCAUCAGCUUGCGCUGAUUACGUCCCUGCCCUUUGUACACACCGCCCGUCGCUACCACCGAUUGAAUGGUUUAGUGAGAUCUCUGGAUUGACGCUGGCUAGGGGGCGACCCUUGGCCAGACUGUUGAGAAACUGCUCAAACUUGAUCAUUUAGAGGAAGUAAAAGUCGUAACA